CACUGCAUACCCUGUGACCUCC
rnacentral:miRNA from 1 species